rnacentral:rRNA from 1 species
AUACGGAGGAUCCGAGCGUUAUCCGGAUUUAUUGGGUUUAAAGGGUGCGCAGGCGGCCAUUUAAGUCAGCGGUUAAAUCGUGGGGCUCAACCCCAUUCUGCCGUUGAUACUGGGUGGCUUGAUUGCGGUCGAGGUUGGCGGAAUUCGUUGUGUAGCGGUGAAAUGCAUAGAUAUGACGAAGAACACCGAUUGCGUAGGCGGCUGACCAGACCGCAAAUGACGCUCAUGCACGAAAGUGCGGGGAUCGAACAGGAUUAGAUACCCUGGUAGUCCGCACAGUAAACGAUGAAUACUUGUUUUCGGCGAUAUAAUGUCGGAGGCAAAGCGAAAGCGAUAAGUAUUCCACCUGGGGAGUACGCCGGCAACGGUGAAACUCAAAGGAAUUGGCGGGG